rnacentral:lncRNA from 1 species
GCCCCGGUGUGUCACCACCGCGGGUCACCUGGGAGUCCUGUGAGUGCACCGCCGGGGUCACCUGGGAGCCCCGCGUGUCACCGCCGCGGUCGUCGGGGAGCCCCGGGGCUCACCAACGAGGUCACCUGGGAGCCCCGCGGGUCACCGCCGCGGUCACCUGGAAGUGUCACCUGUGUCACUAGGUCACCUAGUGUAUCACACAGGUCACCUAGAAAUUCGUGUCACCGCCAAGGUCACCUAGAAAUUCGUGUCACCGCCGAGGUCCCCUGGGAGCCCCGCGGGUGCCGCACAAGUGCCCCCGCCCUUCCCCCCGGUUCCGGGUCUCCACGCCCUCCUGGUUUGCGGGCAGCCGCGAAGCCGCGAGUGGACCGAGCGAGUGCAGCUGCCUCCGCGGGGCCGCGCCUGGCCGCCGCCUCCCUUUACCUCCGGCCGCCCCGUGGCAGGUGUAGAAGCUGCAGAGGCCGCAGCAGCCCAGCGCGCCCCUUCCGUGUGGCCGCAUGCCACCCGCGCCGCGCCCAGGUAAGCAGGUCCGUGGGUCGCUGGGUCCAUGCGUGGGUCCGUGGCUGGCCGGGGAUGGACCAGCCCCUCCCCGCAGGGGCAUCGCCUGCCCAAGGACGCAGGACCCAGUGAGGGAAGCGCGCGCUGCAGGCACGGGGCUCUCCACCCUCGCCAUGGUUGGCACCAAGCCACACUGUGCACUCGACACACGCAGCGUCCUGGCUGCCACCUGCAGAUUCCAGCUCGUGUCUAUGCAGGGCCAUGGCCGCCAUCACAGGGCCAUAUGCAAGAAACUCUCUGAGCUCUCCUCGCCCAAAACCGCAGCUAUCCUUUUGUGGUUUGGUAUUAUAGGUAACAUGCCCUUCCUUAAAGAAACAGUAUUUCAGGCCUGUAGUCCCAGCUACUCCGGAGGCCGAGGCAGAAGCUGAGGCAGAAGCAGGAGGAUCAUUUGAGCCCAGAAGUUUGAGCCUGGGCAAUGUAGCAAGACCCCCCCCCCCACCUCACUCCCCAAUCAGUUAAAAGAGAGAGAGAGAGAGAGAGAAUUCCAGCAGGAAGAAGUACACAUUUCCACGAAUGGUUUGGGAAUUCAAGCAUCAUAUGGCUGAGGUUUGAACUACAGCUCAUGCCAAUAACAUGUGCACAUGCGCCAGCAUUCCAGCGUCCAACAGAGCAUGCGUGCACCAUUCCAGCAUCCGGCAACAAUGCACCAGCAUUCCAGCGUCCAACAGAGCAUCCGUGUACCAUUCCGGCAUUUGGCAACAAUGCACCAGCAUUCCAGAGUCCAACAGGGCAUGCGUGCACCAUUCCAGCAUCCGGCAACAAUGCACCAGCAUUCCAGCGUCCAACAGAGCGUGCGUGCACCAUUCCAGCAUCCGGCAACAAUGCACCAGCAUUCCAGCGUCCAAAAGAGCAUCCGGCAACAUCCCGGUGUCCAGUGGCACAUGUGCACCUGGACGUUCCAGUGUGGUGAGCUUUCAGGCACGGAGCAAGGCCAAAGGGAUAAAAAGAUGAAGGUGACGCAGUACUCCCCCUUAUAGUGCCUACAGGCCUUAUAGGCCAGACAGAUCUGGAAAUAAAUAAUUCAUAAUAAAAAAUAAUUACAGAAUAAGAGGCAUAAUAACCAGAUAGAAAGUAUUGAAUAAAUCUGUAAGAAAUGGCUGCUUUGUUUUUGUUUUUGUUUAACAUGAGAAACGUAUUGAGUAUCAGCAGUUUCACUUGGUUCUACAGAAUCUCUUUGGAGACCAGUGAAAGGAGAACUCUGGAAAGGCCUCAGAGUGGAUGGGAGCCUCUCCCUCUGUGGACAAGCGUUCCCUGGGCUGCCCAGGGUGCCUACGGCGGCACAAUUGCUACCUCCUGUCUACACAUGGUCUGCAAAAAGUGCCCUCAAAUGGGUCUGCUCCUCUCAUUCCCUGUCAGUUCAGGGAACCUUCACCACUCC